rnacentral:lncRNA from 1 species
AGUGUCAAGGAGCAGAAUACUCUUCAAGGAGUAUGGAAUAAUCUUAAGUCCCUCAAACAUCCUUAAAAUCUCUUAAUGUUAGAGAUUAAGAAUAUUUCUCAAAAGAUUGAAAGUAGCAGGAAAGAACUGGAAGAUGUGCAACAUCAACUGGCUACUUCUUAUUCAGAUACACUUCAGCAAAGAGCAAAAGAUAUGGUACAGCAG